AGAUAUGAGACGAUUACAUCUGAUUUACAUAGAAGUAAUAAAUAAAUAUUUCAUCUUUUCUCUUGUUCUAAAAAAGAGCAAUUAGUUUUUUUAUAAAACAGGAAAAGUGUCAUUAUCUCAAAUUUUCCAGAUGCAGUAACACUUUCAGAAGAUGUUUUUUUUUUAUAUGGAUUUGGAAUGAAAUCUUGAUUGCGUCUAUUUUUCUGUCAUCAAAUUGAUACCUUAUCACUGCUUUUGUAUGGCAACAUGAAUCGCUGUACUAUCUUGUCUUUUUUCUGGUUUAGUUGCCAAAACCGGAACUUUUUGCUGAUAAAUGAUAACACUUCUAUAUAUAAUUUAAAUACCCUAAUAAAAGCUAUAAUUACCAAAGUCCUCCUUUCCAUACAUCUUCUCUUUUUUAACUGUGAUAUACAUGUAUUUAGUUGAUUUUGACAACUCAUGUUCACGGAUAGCUUGGUGAACUUCCUCCAAGGAAUGUACACAUAGAACCUCAUAUGUAUGCAGAUGUAUCUGGGGUAGUAAGUCAGAAAUCAGGCAAAGGUAGGUCACUUGGACCCACAUUUCAUGCUUCAAUGACUGGUUCAGUUUAAUGUUCAUAUCUCAGCAACUAUAAGUUGUAGGAUCAUGUAAACUUUUAUGAACAGGGGUAGUAAGUCAGCAUCCAGGCAAAGUAAGUCACUGUGACCUAUAUUUAACUCUUUAUUGACUUUAUUGACUUUAGUCAGUAUUUCUUAAUGAAAUUCAAUGAAACUUUCACAGAUUAUUGUCAUGGUGGAUAACCUACGUCAUUGUCACAUGAUUUGACGGACAAGGAACCCACGAAAAAGGUUGAGGAAAAGGAAGAAAGAUAUCGAUGGACAUGGUGGAUUGGAAUACAGAUCAGACCAGACGGCGGACAGUCAAAUAGACAGUGACACAGAAGAUGACUACAUUGAUGUUAGAAAAGCAAAGCACAAAAUAGCCAGGAAACAUGAAAAAACAUCAAAGGUAUUAAAAGACAAGGAGACUGACUUCAAUGUUAUAAACAGCCUUGUGAGAAAAAAUGUUUAAGUACCAGUAACAUUCAGACAAUACAGACCUGUCAAGCUAUGUUGUAUAAAAAGACCCAUGAGGAACAGUCAGAUUUCAUUGAGUGAAACAUAAGGUGCAAUGAUGCCAGUUUAGAAGACAAACAGUUGACUUUUGUGCUGACUGGUAGGAGAGUAUGUGAAUAUGCAUGAAGGAUUGUGUAUGGCAUAAAAAGAAGGAGGUAUUACUACAUGAAAAAGAAAUGUUUGUCUACUAACGAAGAUUUAGACAGUUCUGAUAAAAGAUGUAGCCAACAAUACAAGAGUCGCCAGUACCUUGAAGCAAAGAGUUUUGUGUCUGGUCUAUGCAAGAGAUAUGGUGAUGAUCAGCCUGACAUACUAGAAAUACAUUUUCCAUCAUGUCUCUCUCUUCUGCAAGUUUGGACGGAUUAUAAAUCUUCCUGUGAGAAUUUAGAAUCCCCUAUUUGUCUUACCCAAGGUUCUAUGGAAUGUGGAGUGAAGAGUUUCCUCAUGUUAAAAUUCCAAAGUAUCAGAAGCUCAGCAAAUGUAACGAGUGUGUAAUCUUUAAAGAGACCAUCAGCGAAAAACUGACAAAGAUUGAUUUGGGGUGCUGAAGGACAAGAGAAGAUCUAGAGCACAUAUGCUUCUUCAAUAUCUCUGCAGAGAAAAAUAUUUUAAACACAUCAAGAAAUCCAAAGAACAUCCAAGCAUGUAUACAUCUGUUAUCAGUGACAAUAUGGAUCAGUCCAAAACAAAUCUGCCAAGAUUUAUGUUACAUUUUAAGAAUGAAACAACACUUGAAAAAAUGCACCACCAUGUCACAGGUGUUUUAUGUCACGGAUUAAAUAAGGCAUACACAUUUACAUGGAAAGAUCAGUUUUCCUCUGAUUGUAAUAUCACCUUGAAUUGUUUGAUGUCUGUGUUAGGCGAUGUAACAAAAGAAAAUGGUGGUUUACCUCCUACACUUUAUAUUCAAACUGAUGACAACAAAAAUAAGUUUGUGAUAAUGUUCCUAGCAAUAUUGGUGAAAAUGGAAAUUGUAAAAAAGAUCAAGCUGACAUUCCUCAUGGUUGGUAUAACCGAAUAAGGAAAAAAUUAGUGGUAUCAUUCUGUUGAUGAGAACAGAUCUACCAAAAUGGGUAAAGAAUGGUAAACUAAAUAGAGAAGAUGAACUUUGGUGGAUCAACUACUUAUCAGCCUUGGAGAAGAGAAGACGUCCUGCGCCAAAGACUCCCUUGCCACAAAAUAUGGGAAGAUACAAGAAACCACAACAUCCACAACCAGCUAUGGAGGAUUAUAUGUUGGCGGCAAUUAACAACCACAUACAGACAUUUAAUAGGAACACCAAUGUCAGGAUUGUCACACAUCGACCACGGGUUUAAGACCUCAAAACUGAUUUUUAUUACUGAAUUGUAUUUUUUAUAUUUUGUCUGUAAUGAACCUCAUAGGAACAUUUGAUAGAUAAACCAUCUUCUAAUGAGCACUGUGCUGCCAAAUUUGUGUUGCUAUUAAUGAAAUGACUACAGCAUGUUUUGUGUCAAGUUUAAUUCCCAGAAACUUGUAGCUAUGUAUAAUAUUUCACUCUCUUAUUAAGUUGCUAUACAGCAAAAUUUCAGUCACGAUCACAAAGUGUUGUUCUUGAGUGACUUUAGAAAUAUCUGUAGUAAUAAAUCAUUCUACUGCUGCCCUUUUGUAAAGACAGCUCUGCAAUAUAGAAGUCACAAUGAUUUGAGUUAAAGCUGUAGUGACUUUAUCAAAUUUUACUUCAUGAGUUUAUUUUUUAAAGCAAAAUGGAAUAUAUAUAUCAAUGAACAUGUUAGUAAUGUAUCAUUUCAAACCGUUUUAUCUUGGCCAAUAUUUUAGAAACUAAUGUUGUUGAAAUGGUAUGAAUGUAUAAUUUGACACAAAGGUGAAAAGGCAUUUCUAAAUUUAAAAUCUGAAUCGAUUGAAUGCAAGGCCACCCUUAAAAAAUUCUUUGUUACAUGUUUUAGACAAGAAAACGACGUUAAAGCAGGAAAAAAUCUUUUAAAAAAAAAUUGGAAACAGUUUGUGUCAUAAAAUUUUUCGGGUAGGUAGGCAACAUCAAACAAUUUAAAUUUUAUUUUUGGCCCAAUGGAUAUAAAGUUUUAAAAGCUUUGAAGCUGAUACUUAGUUUGGCUUAUUGUUGGAUAUGUUAUGGUGUUAUUAGACAUUCCAAUUAAACAUGGAAGGAAGACAUACUGACACCACUUCUAUGUCUGGACUUCCUUAUGAAUUGAGGGUUUUAGCAGAUGUCUGUAUGAAGCAAAAUAUCAUCUGCAUUGAUGUACUAUAGUUUGCCUCUGUUGCAUGGAAUUCUGUUUUUAACUUUAACACACAAAAAAAUCAUGAUUAUUUUGAAAACUAAGUGUUUAUGUAUAGCAGUGCAAUAUAUAUAAUGUUCACAAUUGUAUAAAUGUAAAUAUAAAACAAAAUAUUUGUAAAUAAUAUUUUAAUUGCUUCAGUGAGUGUUUUGACAAAUUAAUUCAGUGAUUAUUUUAAAAAUGGUGAAAUUGCUAUUUCUAUUCUGAAAGGAGUAGAUGUGGUAAGUGCCCUAUUAUGUCCCAAUUUGAAGUAAAUUAUUUCAGGCUGAAAAGCUUUUGAAGAUGAUGCAUAAAAACCUAUUGAAAUUAGCCUGUUUUAAUUGGUAGGAAAUGAAAGUUAUACUUAUUUUUAUUUCAUGAAAAAAAUGCCGAUAAAUUAAUAGAUAAAAAAAACAGCAUUUCUCCUAUCUAUUCAUUGUUUUAACUAUGAUGCAUUGUAAUAAAGGCCAUUCAAUAAUAAUUUGUAAUUAUAGGUAGUAGUAGGGGUCAUAUUGGGGCCUUAUUGAACCUUCUCUUUUGUACAAGAUAAGAAAUAGAAAGCUUUACUUAGCCUUAAAAUUCAAAUGUAUGCAUGUAUGAUUAUUAGACAAAAGAACUUACUUUUUUUACUCGUAUUUUUUUUAUUAGUCAGGCUUUAUGCUUUGAAGUAUUGACAUUUAAUGAAAAAGAUGUAUAUCUUAGAUAGAAUUCACCAGUGUAAAUAACAACUUUCAUUUGGAAAGAAAUGUGUUGAUGUAUCAAUUUUCCAUAGUUCUUUUGUAAAUACAAAAUAAAUAUUUUAUGUCAGAAAUAA